rnacentral:rRNA from 1 species
CCAGACUCCUACGGGAGGCAGCAGUGAGGAAUAUUGGUCAAUGGCCGGAAGGCUGAACCAGCCAAGCCGCGUGAAGGACGAAGGUGCCAAGCAUUGUAAACUUCUUUUGUCAAGGGACAAAAUCAGGCUCGAGAGCCUGACCGAGGGUACUUGAAGAAAAAGCAUCGGCUAACUCCGUGCCAGCAGCCGCGGUAAUACGGAGGAUGCGAGCGUUAUCCGGAUUUAUUGGGUUUAAAGGGUGCGUAGGCUGCUGGUAAAGCGGGGGUUAAAGGCCGGGGGCUCACCCCCGGCGAGCCGUUGAAACUGGCUGUCUUGAGAUGUCGAGAGGUAUGCGGAAUGCGCAGUGUAGCGGUGAAAUGCUUAGAUAUUGCGCAGAACUCCGAUUGCGAAGGCAGCAUACCGGCGGCGAUCUGACGCUGAGGCACGAAAGCGUGGGUAUCGAACAGGAUUAGAUACCCGCGUAUG